UGUGUGUGUGUGUGUGUGUGUGUGUGUGUAUGUAAGGGGGAGCUCUUGCCUAAAAGGUCAGCCCUGAGGGGUGUUCAGGGCCCUUGGGGGUUCCCGAACCACUCAGCUAGGAAAGCUCCUCCAGCCCCGAAUGCCUCCAGCCUCUCAGUCUUUUCUUGAGCUUCUAGAGACCAGGACGCCUCACAGCCAGCAUUCUGUUUCAUCUCAUUCUUCCCCUCUCCUUCCAGAAUAAUUAUUGUCUGGUGGGUGAUGUGGGUGAGCAGGUUCUUUGGAAAACCGAAAAGGCACUGCGAGUUGUCUGCACAGAGAGACUCCCCUGUCCCUGAGCCUCCCUGCCU